UACGGGGGGGGCAAGCGUUGUUCGGAAUUACUGGGCGUAAAGGGUUCGUAGGUGGCUUGCUAAGUCAGACGUGAAAUCCCUCAGCUCAACUGGGGAACUGUGUCUGAGACUGGCGAGCUUGAGUGCAGGAGAGGAAUGCGGAAUUCCAGGUGUAGCAGUGAAAUGCGUAGAUAUCGGGAGGAACACCAGUGGCGAAGGCGGCCUUCUGGACCAGUACUGACGCUCAUGCACGAAAGCGUGGGGAGCAAACAGG
rnacentral:rRNA from 1 species